CCCACUCAUUAAAGGCAGGUCGUUUGGAGCGAAAGGAAUCCUAGCGAAGCAGAGCUCUGCGCACUUGAGUUCCGGUCCGGUUUCCCGCGGAGUUCCCCGCUUGGUGCUUGCUUGCGCGUCUUGGAGUACUGGUCGGGUUUCACCCCCAUCAGGCGUGAUGACCAGGGAGUCAUAGUGUGGUGUUGUUAUGUCCACUAGAUCAACGUCCGUGAAAAAAAAUUCUUCCGACGGCUUUCUUUUUUUCCCCAGGGCCGCCUUUACCGUGUCGGUUGUGUACCGACGGGCUUCUUCCGGGUCCUGCGCCAGGAGGUUUCUCCCCCGGAUAUGGCAAAAAUGUCCUCUGCCUCGAGUUCUAUCUUUGGGGUUCUGUGGCCGGUAGAUAUGACCGUUGAUCUUGAUGCGGGUGCUUGGCGCGGUACCGCUUUGGGGGGUUUUAUUUGCUCAAUGGCUUUUACCAGGCUCCUGCGCUCCGCCGUGGUGUGCCCCGAGUCUUGGUGGUACUCGCAGUACUUUCCGUUCUCCUGGUACGCUGCCUUCGGAAGUGCGCUUUCGUCUUUCAGCGUCAAAAAUACCUCCCUCUGGUUUGGGCCAGACUCCGCCUGCUUAUGGAGUCAUGCGUAUGGCGCCUUCCCCUUGUUAUGGGGCCUAGGGGUUCGUAAGGGGUUGAUCCCCUCUCCUUCUACUGCCAGGUGUUUUGUCCUCCGGCUUUCCCCUUCUGUCGUUGUAGUGCCUGCUUGAAUUUCGGGGUCAAGUACUCUUCUAUGUCCAUGGCUCCCUGGGCCCAGCACAUGGCUUCGUAGAACGUCUUGACCUUGUGGUCGUUGAGCUCGACCGUGAAGCGUGUUCCUCUCAGCCCAUUUAGCAGGGCCAUCAUGAUGGUCGGCUCCUCCGCCUCCUCUAGAUCCUGAACCGCCGUCGCAAACCGGUUCAUGUAAUCUCUGAGGGUUUCACCGUCCCCCUAUGACACCCCCAACAAGGUUGUUAUUCCUUUCUUCCUUCGGGUACGGAAAGCAAAGGCCUAGUGAUACCUCGAGGGGCUGGGAAAACUUCUAUUAACUCAUAUUCAUCUCAAGUAAGAUGACAGACUAAUGACGACUGCAAUGACUUCAAGUCGUUCUACAUAGCUCGCCAACCUUUGUCCGACUCUUCGCAUAUUGCCAUCGUGCAUUGUCAUUUCUUUUAAAUAGCACGACUCCAUAUUCUAGCUAGUAUUAUUGAAGUUAACCUUCAUCAAUGGUUAUUGCAUGGUCUGAUUAGAACAAGGUUGACUAGUUAAUUAUACAAUUAGGAUCGAUCAGAAUUUGUAGUUAGACUAUCAUGACUAUUUUUGGAGAAUCAAGUUUGACCUCAUACUGAUAGGUUAUUAAUUUAUUGAUUGACAAUUGUAUCUUAGAGAACUUUUGAAGAUUAAUAAUUUUGAAAAUAUGAAAAGUCUAUAUAUGAGUAUAUGACUCCAAUGAAAGAAAAUGUUAAUUUAUAUUCAGUUGAGGAAAUAAUGUUGACCCUUAUUUAAAGAGAAGCCACACAUAAGUGUGGUGAAGGCUUCUAAUCUUGGGUCAUUAUUUUGAAAUACCAAGAUCAAUGGAAGAUCCAUGCAUGAUCUUUAAGAUUCAUCUUUGAUUUCAAAAUAAAUAUCCAUUUAAAGACCUAACCAAUAAUUAUUAAUUGAUCACAGUAAAUAUUAAGGUUUCUGAGGGUCUAGGGUUCGAGUCUCUGUAUUUUUUUUUAAUAUCUACUACAAAUAGCUGAUGAUAUAUUAUGUGGUUCUGAUAUAUCAUCCGAAGGUGAACAUUUUUACUUAUAGAAAUGAACCCUUCGUUAUAAAUAAAAAAAGAUAGAACUAGUAAUUAAAAUCAAACAAAACUAAAUUAAUUAAAGUGAUAAGCAAGAACUCACUUAAUUAUAGUUGGGAACUUGAACUUUUUGUAAUUAAUUCACUUGAUUGUCACUUAGAUAGAUAGAUCUCUUAAUUAUUUUAAUCCCCAAUAAUGACCUGCAAAUUAAAACAAAUGAAAGAGUUGAAGAUAUAGAACUAGAAAUAGAAACAAGAUGAUAUCAAUUUAAUUAAAUCUAUGAAAUCCAAAUGAUAUUUCUUUUAAUGAAAUCCAAAACCCUAAUUGGUGAUACAGUAUCCCGAACACGGUCACAACCUACCAGCAACUAGAAGUCCGGAUAGCCUAAGAUGAGUUGAGGUAUCUAUUCUAGGGUUAUGGAGGUCCCAGGUCGAAUCCUAGGAAGAUCGACUUUCCUGAGGAUCAACUUCCCUGGGAUCGACUUUUGAGUAAAGUCGAUCACCAGGAAAAGUCGACCCCCAGAAAGUCGAUCUCUGGAAAGUCGACCCCUGGACCCAAUCUGAUCAGUUAGGCAGUUAGGCGGUUACUGCCCAAAUGACCAGAUUGACCCCAUAAGAACCCCUAUAAAUAGAGGGCACCCCCCACUCAUUAAAGGGAGGUCAUUUGGAGAAGAAGGAUUCCUAGCGAAGCAGAGCUCUGCACACUUGAGUUCCGGUCCGGUUUCCCGCGGAGUUCCCCGCUUGGCGCUUGCUUGCGCGUCUUGGAGUACUGGUCGGGUUUCACCCCCAUCAGUUGGCGCCGUCUGUGAUUCAAAGAUACUCACGACAAAAGCUCCUCGACUUCUUCGAAAAAAGGAUCGACUUUUUUCCAAGUCGCCAGCUAGGAAGUUUUGCGAGGAAAUCAGCCAGCAAGGGAUCGACAUUUCAGGAGAUCGACUUUUUCUUCCGAAGAAAAGUCGACCCCUCAAGGAGCUAGGCUUUCGAACAUCGGCUUCCAAGGAAUCCUCCAAGUGCACUAGGGAUCGACUUCUUGAAGAUCGACUUUCCAGGCAAAAGUCGAACACCCCUUCCAGGAAAAGUCGAACACUCUAGGAUGGUGGUAACUCGAAGCACUUCCCAAGGAGGAGGAGCGAAUUCUCAGGAGGCGCCAGGGCAACAACCUGGCAACUCAAAAACUAAAAGGCCAGUAGGUCGACCACCUAAGGCCAAUAAGAACGAGGAUUUUAAAAAAAAAAAAAUCUCAA
rnacentral:lncRNA from 1 species